UGGGGAAUAUUGCACAAUGGGGGAAACCCUGAUGCAGCAACGCCGCGUGAGCGAUGAAGGCCUUCGGGUUGUAAAGCUCUGUCUUUGCUGACGAAUAAAUGACGGUAAGCAAGGAGGAAGCCACGGCUAACUACGUGCCAGCAGCCGCGGUAAUACGUAGGUGGCAAGCGUUGUCCGGAAUUACUGGGCGUAAAGAAUGCGUAGGCGGCUUUUUAAGUGGGAUGUGAAAUCCCUGGGCUCAACCCAGGAACUGCAUUCCAAACUGGAAGGCUAGAGUGUGGGAGAGGAAAAUGGUAUUCCCAGUGUAGCGGUGAAAUGCGUAGAGAUUGGGAGGAACACCAGUAGCGAAGGCGAUUUUUCUGGAACAUAACUGACGCUGAGGCAUGAAAGCGUGGGGAGCAAACAGGAUUAGAUACCCUGGUAGUCCACGCCGUAACGAUGAGUACUAGGUGUAGGGGGUACCGA
rnacentral:rRNA from 1 species